rnacentral:rRNA from 1 species
UACAGAGGUCCCAAGCGUUGUUCGGAUUCACUGGGCGUAAAGGGUGCGUAGGUGGUUAGGUAAGUCCGAUGUGAAAUCUCCAGGCUCAACCUGGAAAUGGCAUUGGAUACUAUCCGGCUUGAGGAGUGGAGGGGGGACUGGAAUUCUCGGUGUAGCAGUGAAAUGCGUAGAUAUCGAGAGGAACACCAGUGGCGAAGGCGAGUCCCUGGACAUUUCCUGACGCUGAGGCACGAAAGCCAGGGGAGCAAACGGG